AUUAGACAUACAGUAAAUUAUAUGUUAGAUUAUACUAUUUAAUACUCCUAUUGAUAUUGAAACAUUAUCUACAUGACUGUUUUAUUGUAUUUUGUAAUUUUUCACAUCGAAGGAAAGAAACAGAAACAAGUGAAGUGUUAAAAAAAAUAUUCAACAUUGUAUUAAUAUGUUAUUCUAUUUUAUAUGGGUUUUAGUAAUCAACAAAAUGCAGUAAUUAGUUGUAGACAUAUAAAUAAUUUUUAAAUAUGUAAGUGUACAAUGGAUUUUUUAAAGUGCAAGCACCAAUUGUUUUUUAGAUAAUUUUAAAUAAUAAUUUUUUAACAUACUUCCCGAGUUUUUAUAAGACAUUGGAAAUGCUUUUGCGGUAUAGGCUCUUUAAUCUGACAGAGUAACUUAUUACAUCUCAUAUCUUCUAUUCAAGGAAAAUAUUUUUUGAUUUUUUAUUGAGUAGAUUUUAUGAAAUGUAUAUUAAUGAUCCCUUUGAAUGUUAUUUUUAAUAAUGGCCAGUAGCUUUUUCAUAUUGCAAUGAUUUAGAUAUUUUAUUUUGAAUAUAAUAGAAACAUGGUCAAAUAGUCAAAAUAAAGGAAAUUGAUAUUUACAUCUAAUAUUAAAUUAAACAAGAAAGUCUGUAUUCCAACACCCUAAUAUUAUUGUCAUAUUAUAUAUUUGAUAAUUAUUAUUUGACAAUACCUAAUUUUACUCCAGUAUAUGUAGUUAACAUACAAAAAGUAAUAAUAAGACCUGUUGUUUCUCUUUUUUAUAUGUAUCUUAUAUUUUCUCACACUGAUAUUUUAUAGAUUAUCUGCAAGGGAAGUACAAUCUUUGGAAAACAUCAAAGGGAUAUAGGCUAUUCUUCUUUUAACUUUCUUGAUUUUAAAUAAUAUGAAUUUAAAUUUAGUUUUAUGUUAUUACUCUGAUUUACUUUUAUAUAUUGCUGUGUGAUUUUACUUUAAUUUUAUUUGUUGUUUGAAAAGGUUGUAUGACUUCACAGAAUAAUUCUACCUAUUCAAUCUAAAUUGCUGAUUAAAUAUAUUAAACCUUUACUUUAAUUUUUAUAAAAUCAUAAUAAGUUCACUACACAAAAUCGGUGUUGGGGUAUGGAACUCUGAAAAUCCUCCUGGCUGUUGUUUAGUGCCGAAGUUAUUGUGUCGCCUGACAGUGUCAAACUGCCAUCGUGUAACAUAAUACUGAUCAGGUAUUUCAUGCUUGGUUGAUAGACACCACUUGAAAAUGGUAGGAUAGAAUUCAACCAAACUUGCACGCUAUCAUCUGCAAGCUUAAGGUAUCAAGUUGUGUACCAACCAUUCAUUUUGUAUUCAAUGGAUUUUUGGUUGUGUUAUACCCAAAUGUUGGUAGAAAUAUAAUUAUUUUUUGUUGAUUUCCCUUAACCAGAAUAAUUCAGUCCCUCCACGUAGUCCUCCUACUUGUGAGGACCUGAAUUCCUAACAUGAUAAAAAUGUAUCCUGGAUUUUGAUUGUUGCCUGGUCGAAGAGGUGACUAAUCAGCAAUUACAAACUACAGAGUUAUCUCCCCUUAUUCGUUAAUUCCUAGUGCAUUUCAACCAAAUUGUAUCUUCUAUUACCAGAACAGAACACGGAAAUGAAUGUCAUUUUUGUGCAUAUUAAAACUACAUAUUAUGGACUGAAAUCAAUGUCAAAUUGGGUGGGUUUUAUUGGUCAUGUUUUCACCACUGCCUCAUUCUUAGGCAGACUGGCACUUAAAUAUCUAACUGUUGAGAGCUGAGAAAUAUUGUAUUGCAGAAGAUCUGGUGAUAUAAUCUGUUUCUCUAAAGAUUUUGUAGACAAUAUGCAGAUAAAUUAAUCCUUUCAGCCAAAAAUUGUGUCCUUUCUAUGUAACGACAUCAGACAUGGUAUAAUACAAACAAAAAUUUGAAUUGAAAGCAAGAAUAUAAUACAUCAUAAUAUGAUAGGUGAAUUUUGAAAAAUUAAGAACUGAUAUCAAAUAAACCACACAAUGAUUAAAUAAAAAUAAUUAACAGGUCAGGUAAAUGUUAGAUUGGAUGUCUUUUCCUCCCCAUAUAACAUCUGACAGCUUCUGUAUGACAUUUUUUUCAACAAUAAAUUUAACCAUACUUUCCAAUAUUGAUUUUAAAAGUAACAGUGAUAGAUUCAUUGCCAAAAACUUAUAUGGGUAUUAUUAUAUAUUUGUUUAGGGGCCAGCUGAAGGACACCUCCAGUUGAGGGAAUUUCUCGUUACAUUGAAGACCUGUAGGUGACCUUCUGCUGUUGUUUUUUCUAUGGUCGGGUUGUUGUCUCUUUGAUACAUUCCCCAUUUCCAUUCUCAAUUUUAUUGACACACAAUUUUAUUUUUCUUAAACUGAUUUUCUAGAAAAUUGUAGUGUCCAUAUGAAUAUUUGUCUGAAUCUGGAUAUGAUUUCUUAAUUCUUUGAAAAUUAAGUGCUAUAAUUUUUUUUAAUACUUUAGUUUAUCUCUGCAUGGUCAAACAGCAUGUGAAGGGUUGUACUUUUGUCGGACACUUUGGUAUGAUCUAUAACAGACGGGUCUAAUUUCUGGCACACAUUUGGUUAUCAACAAGAUGUAUGUAUUAAAAAGCUUUAAUGAUGAUUUAGCAUAAUAUAUUAACAGUAUUUUAAUUGACAGUUAUAUAUAUCCUAUAUUUGUCAUUUUAAGAAUGAAAUAUGAUUAAUUGAUGACCAUAUUUAUAAAUGUGUAAUUCAGGUUUAUAAGUCUGCAGACACUAGUAUGUAACAUGUAUAGUAAAAUACAUUUGAGACAUAUUUUGAUGUUCUUAAUACUUGAUCAGUGGUUGUAUUUUUCUUUAUUAUUUAGUGUAAAAUUUGAAAUAAACUAAAAAGAAUGUCAGAAAUGUUUGAUGAAAUAUAAUAUAUCAAAGAUAUUUAUGAAAGUAAUUCAUCACAUUUGUUGAUCAUUCUUUUUUACCAUUAAACUUAUAUAUUUAUGUACAUGUAACUACUUUCUUUUUCUUAAUGUGUAUCAUGUACACUUGUUCAAAAAUCAUUGCAAUAAACAUUGGAACUUUUAUGACCAAACUUACUACAAUUGUUAUUAGGGUGUCUCCGUUGGAAAUAUAUUUCAAGGCCACUACUAGUUAUUGGAUUAACUACAUUCCCAUCUAUACCAAAAAAAUAGAACAUUAAACUGUCAAAUUGAUAACAAAAAAUAUUUCAGUUAAGAUCAGUUAAAUGUAAAAAUAUUAUAAGGAAUAAAUUACUUUUUAUGAUUCCCCUUUAUUCAGUAUGGUGAAUAAUAUAUAUAAAAACAAAUCCCACAGUUUAAUUAGAUGUUAAUUUUUAUAUGUCUUUAUUUAGUAAAAUGAAUACUUUUGUUGAUUAUGAAUACUUGUUUGAUUGGCUGAUAUUGUUCAUGUUGGUUUGACUAUAAUACUUGUGAUGUGCAAUAAUUAUAUAUAUGUAACAUAUUGUAAGUAGAAGAAUCUAUUUUAUACAGAUAUAGAAAUAAAUGUUUAUUUUCAAA